UUAGCUCUCUUUGCCUUUUGGCUUAGAUCAAGUGUAGUAUCUGUUCUUUUCAGUUUAAUCUCUGAAAGGUCCCCAAGGGGACCAAUCGUGAUUAUUCUUAUUUUUGCACCUCGAGCAGUUUCCUCUGCGCUUGCGCAUGAUCCUGCUCACUGUGUCCCUGGUAUUACACUGCCUCCAGGCGACGCGACCCUUU
rnacentral:snRNA from 15 species